rnacentral:rRNA from 1 species
UACGAAGGGGGCUAGCGUUGUUCGGAUUUACUGGGCGUAAAGCGCGUGUAGGCGGGUCGUUAAGUUGGGGGUGAAAUCCCGAGGCUCAACCUCGGAACUGCCUUCAAAACUGGCGACCUGGAGCAAGAUAGAGGCAAGUGGAAUUGCGAGUGUAGAGGUGAAAUUCGUAGAUAUUCGCAGGAACACCAGUGGCGAAGGCGACUUACUGGUCCGGUUCUGACGCUGAGGCGCGAAAGCGUGGGGAGCAAACAGG